rnacentral:rRNA from 1 species
UACGAACUGCGCAAACGUUAUUCGGAAUCACUGGGCUUACAGGGUGCGUAGGUGGCGGAGAAAGUAGGGUGUGAAAUGCCUUGGCUCAACCAAGGCACAGCGCUCUAAACUCCUUCGCUCGAGUGAGUCAGGGGUCUGCGGAACUUCCGGUGGAGCGGUGAAAUGUGUUGAUAUCGGAAGGAACGCCGGUGGCGAAAGCGGCAGACUGGGGCUCAACUGACACUGAGGCACGAAAGCCAGGGGAGCGAACGGG